AGGUCCGGGUCAGAGUCCCUGUGGGUUCACGAAGUGAAACUUCUGUUCGCUGAGCCUCCUAGCAAGGCAGUGUCAGGGCUUUCUGUGACAUGCAAGGGCUCAGGCUUUGUGAGGGGAGUGAGGAUGCCUGGCUAAGAUGAGGACGCUGGGCUCACAGACAUCAGGGGAGGUGCCUGCGGCCUCUUGGAGGAGCCAAGAACACAAAACCCCCAGGUACAAGGUGAGACACCUCAUCUCCACCACCUAAUCGUCAAGUCAACCCUGCGUCUCCCCUCCCUUCACUCAGAGACUGAGGAGGAAGCUGACACAUCCGCCUUGUCCGUAGGGAAGAAAAGGCAACAAAGCUCUCAACCUACAGUUUUUACUAAGUAAUACUGAUGCUAGAGUGAUGGAGACUAAGCUUCACCCAACAAACCCUGGGGCAGCACAGAAUGGGAGGAUGGAACACGAGGCAUUUCUGGCAACAGUGGGGCAGAGAGCUGAGAAGAGCCUGGCCUGGGACCCGUCUUCACUCCUGUCUUCGUCUGCUUGGGCUGCCACAAGAAGAUGCUGCCUGUGAAUCAACGUACGUCUUCACCUCUGGACAUCCGUCUGCCCAGCGGGCAGAGCGGGCAAGCAUGGGCUGUUCCAAGUUCUGGCAGCUGGGAGGAUUUCCCUUCCUUGCAGUUUUUCAGCGACACUCCUGAGUAGGGCUGAAAUGCUGCAGAAGUCCACUUCCAGAUGGCGCCAGAAUAUCAGGUGGUGGCCUGGACCUGCGAGUCUAUUCUAGGUUUGUGGAAUGCAAGUGACCUCGUGGCAUCCUUGUCCAGAGGAUGACACACACGGAGAAGAAAAGCCCAAUCCUUGCAGCUCUGUUGCUGCCUCUGCCCUUUGGAAGGCAGUGCCAGCUGUCCGUCACGAUAGAAACAAUAUCCAAGUGUGCCCUAGAAUGUUGGACCCCAGAACCCUCAUGUAGGUGUCAGGCUCCUGGACUUUAACGGGGUUUACUCCCACCAUCUGGCAUGCGUAUGUCUUGUUACAGCUUCUUCGGUACUGUCUGUUUCCUGCACAGCAAGUGCAUUCUGCAUGAUGUCAUCAGUCUGGCGAACCAGCAUGAUGUCCAUGAUGUCCUAAGUCACCAAGUUCCUUCAGUUUAGAUUAUGUCCUAGCAGGAGAGUUGACACAGCUCUGAAGUACGACAGGAUAUCCUGUUGUCCCUGCUGUGAGUUACAGUGAACUCCUUCUGGUAGUUGCCAGAACAAUAGCUGCAUGUAGUUCCAGGAGCUGUGCUGAUUUUAUCCUCCAGGAGAGAUGUGACAUCUGGAAUAGCAGGUGCCACCACCUGAGCAAGUCUAUAAUAACUCGUGAUCUCUCUCCAAGAUCAAUCUGCCUUUCUGCACAGGACACAGGCAAAUUAAAUGGAAAUGUACAAAGUGUGAUAGAACUCACAGACUCACCACCUCAGUAUCUUUUAAUUUUAUAGAAUCUUCAGGCAAGGGGAGGUUGGUUGCCUCAAUAGGGACACAGAUUCAAAGGAGGCUUGUGGGGAGCUGGGGGUUUGAGGUUCUCAGAUUCAUCUGAGCUCUUAUUCCUAUCUGGGGAUCCCUCUCUUUUUCAAUCAAUACCUUAUUGAUUUCACAUAAGGGAUGUGGCAAGGGUGUGAGUUCAAUUUAUGUUGUAAUUCUUCCAUCCAUGAAACUGGAUUGCAAUGUGGAUUAAAUUUGGGGCUUGAUUUUUAGCUGUA